GGUUGUGGCUCAGUGGUAGAGCACUUGCCUCGCACAGGGAGGCCCUGGGAUCAAUCCUCAGCACCA
rnacentral:tRNA from 1 species